AGUGAACGCUGGCGGCGUGCCUAAUACAUGCAAGUCGAACGGAGUGGCGCACGGGUGAGUAAUGUAUAGCUAAUCUGCCCUACACUAGAGGAUAACAGUUGGAAACGGCUGCUAAUACUCUAUAGUGUAGGAUGAGGCUAUAUUGUAUCAGCUAGUUGGUUAGGUAAUGGCUCACCAAGGGUAUGACGCAUAACUGGUCUGAGAGGAUGAUCAGUAACACUGGAGCGGAGACACGGUACAGACUCCUACGGGAUGGAGCAGAAGUGAAUAUUGCUCAAUGGGGGAAACCCUGAAGCAGCAACGCCGCGUGGAGGAUGACACUUUUCGGAGCGUAAACUCCUUUUGUUAGGGAAGCGGUACCUAACGAAUAAGCACCGGCUAACUCCGUGCCAGCAGCCGCGGUAAUUC
rnacentral:rRNA from 1 species